rnacentral:lncRNA from 1 species
UUUUUUUUAAAACCCAACUUCAACAGUUGAAUUUCAGUAUUACAUCUUCCGCAGCCGGCUCCUACAAGCCACGGCAGUUGGCCAGUUACGUCUGCAACUCAGGUACUCAACCACUCCUAAAACCUACCGGCGACGGGCGACGGCAGAGUGAUAGCAUCCUCCUGUGGUGGUCUUCUAUUAUCGGACUCGUAGUCGUUGGUACUAAUUUGGUAAGUCAUUUAUCUAUUAUCUUCCCUAAAAUCCGACCGGCCGACCGCAUGAAUGGUGAAUCUGAUGAUUGUUGGCAUUCUGCCAUUCUGGCUUCUGCUUCUGUAUUAUCUAUCAAUUAGUUUUCUUGCAAUGUUUUGGGUGAGUUAUAUCCAAAUUCCGACCGGCUCUGUUCAUUCAUGAUACUGAAUCUCUGAUGCUGGCAUUCUGCUUCUGUUAUCUAUCAAUUUGUUUUCUUGCAAUGGUUUGUUUUGGGUGAGUGAGAUUCAAAUUGAUUUGUUUGUCUAUUUGUUGCAUCUUCAUCUUGAUUCUUGAAACUUGAAGACAUGAACUUUGAGGUGUAACCGUAGUUCCAUAAAUCUCUUAUAAAUGAAAAAAAUUAAUUGCUUGUUAUGAUUUAUGGGCCCAAAAUCUGAAUUUCGCCCCAGGCCCCGCAAAACCCAGGUCCGGCCUAGACGUGUGCACUUGCACAGCAAGAUUGACGAUCAUUUUCCCUUGUGCUAUCUUCCAUUAUGGACCUCUUCUGUUUUUCUCCACUCAAUUUUCAUGGAUCUCUCUUCUUCUUGGUUUUUUGUCAGAACUCAAGGUUUUGUAGAAACAAUGCGGUCGAGGAGUGUAAAGAAACACGAUCAAUCAAUUCAAUUGGGCAUGAAUGAAGAAUUAUAGUUUUUGUCUGAUUUGAGAAUCAGAAUAAUUGAACCAGUUGCGAUGAUGAUGUUGAUUUAGAGAUUUACCGUUGAUUUUAAUUGUUCCAUAGGAAGGUUAUUCAAAAUUGGUUGAUUGUGUGUUCAUCGGCCCAAUUGGUCUGCAGGAGGUAAUUAUACAUGCAACAUUGGUAGAACAAGAUUAAAGAAAAUAAUAUGACUUUCCGAAGAAUGAACAUUCGAAUU